GGGAGGCAGGGCCGGGGCUCCAGUCGCUCCCCCGGCGGCAGCCCCGCCGGCGGUCCCUGCGUGCCAUCUCGGCGGACUCGUACAUGGGAGGCGGCCAGAGGUUACGGCGAGGAAUUAUGAAGUAGCUACAGGCGCUGGAAGCCCUAUUGCUGCAUCAGUCUCUCCGCUCAGGCUGAGACGAGGUUCGGCGGCAUCAUUUACUUUCUCCUGCAGCGGCUCCCAAGAGCUCCCCCAGCUGCACUGCACCGCCCCAGCCAGCCUGAAGGGAGAAGCAACCGAGGAGCAGACAGACCACGCACCCUCGCUGUGCCUGCAGCUCAGCCCGGCUCUCCUCACCUCCUCCCCAGCCUUGCCAGGUCCUUCGCUCUUCAAAACUUUCCCUGAUGUUGUGUGCCGACCUCGUAUGGGUGCGUCGCCUCCGUUCUUGUCUGCUCCGCCCGCCUCGCAGAGGAUUUACAGCUGUAGAGAGGCCCCUGCCUCUCUCCCUCGACGGCUGCCGGAGCUCCUAGUGGGAACUAACAGGCUGCAACUGGAAGGGAGACGACAGUGAGGGACAAGAUGCUGAACGAAGUUGAGCUACUCCUGCCAGACGCCAGCUGGAAACCGCUUGGCAGGUCUCUACCCCUCCGCUUUUUCCUGAAGCGCCAAAAUCUCCUGCAAAAGUUGCCGGGAACGUCACCGCUCUGCAGCCGGCCCCGGGGCGCUCCGCUCCACCGCCCCCCGACGGGGCGUCCGGGGGUUCCCGCGCCCGCCAGCGGGGCUGGCCCGAGGUCGCUUCCCACCUCCCUGCCUGCCGGCUCUGCCAGCCGCGCCUUAUUUUCUCCUCUGUUGGCUUGCCAGGUUUUCCCCCUACCCCCUUCACCAUUUCAUUCCCCUCCACCAUUUCACUCCCCUUCGUUUAAAAAAAAAAAAAAAAAGAGCCAAUUAAAGAGGGCGGGCGUGCUGGGGAGAGCCCAGCCUCCUGCCCAAUUCUGCGAGCCUCCCCACGCCUCGCCCCGGCCCAAUUAUAGACAAGACCGCAGGGGUGGGGAGAAAAAAGGACUUGCUUCGGGCGAGAGACCGGUUGUCAGUCCAGGGUAUCCCCAUCCUCAGGACGCUCGCGGCAAGGUUGGCUUCUCCCGGCUGGGACUUGAGAUGCCAAGGGAUAGGGGGCAGCGCAGGUUGCCGGGGUGUCUCCCGCACUGGCGCUCGCUCGUGCCAGCAAAGUUUUUUGGGGCCCCCCAGGUAGGUUGCAGGCUGGCGGGGCUGCCUUGUGCAUGCUGCUAGGGAGCGGCGGGCGCGGCGCUCCUGCGGGGCGGGGGUGCUGUGCGGGGCCCCUGCCCGGUGCGUGGCUGCGAGGCCGCGGUACCCCCGGACUGCCGGCCCCGGGCCGUGGUGAUGUUCCUACACGGAACCCGGAGCGGGAAAGCUUUGCAUGCCCCGCUCCCCGUGCCCCCCCCCGCGCAGGGCCCGGGGCGAGAGGCCGGGAGGAAGAAGAUGCUGCGCCAGCCCCGAGCAUCACCACCGGCACCGGGGGCUACGCGGCGCCCUGGUUUGCCAUCCCUAUCUCCGUCUGCUUUGCUAGGGAGAUAAAACGCUGCUUCUGGGAAGCCUAGACCUGCUCGCCCCCGAGCUGGCGAGCCCAUCCGUGCCUGGCCCGGGUCCAUAGCAAUGAGCCAGACCGUAAAGCGGAGCCAGCGCCGUGGAAACCCCUCUUAGGGGCGCGUUCUGCUCUAGAGAGCCGGGCUCCGGCUCGUCUCUUCCCCAGCGCUGGCCCCGCCGGGGCUCCCGGGGACGGGCUGAUGCGGGUAUCCCUUAGAGACAGCGGAUGCUCUCCGGCCCUUCCUGGGGGCUAGCCCCUGCGCGCUCCCCGCCUCGGCCAGGCGCGGGCUAGGGACGCUGCCCCGGGGGCUCCCGGCCCUGCCCCGCGGCUCUGCAUCCACAUUCUCUCCCCGAGGCAGCUGGCGAGGGGUGCGGGACCCGGCAGGCACUGAGUUGUCAUGUGAACAAGUCACUCCCUGGAUAAAAAUGUAAUUAAAAAAAAAAAAAAAUCAAAAGAUAUAGACUAAAGAGCGACUGGCUGCUCAGUCAUGCUCUAACAAACAAGCAAUUGAUAGAUAUAACCCCUAAUUAGUAAGUAGUUACUCCUAGUGUAAACGGUACUCAGCAAGAGAGAAAAGCAGUAGCAUACACCAGGAAGAGAGCAGUGAUACAGACAAGACAGCAUCACCCCAGAGCCCAGCAUCCCCCCAGCGCCCGGAAUCCAUGCAUGAGGGACGCAUGGCAGGUGAUUUCCCACUGGAUUCUAUUCUAUCACUUGUCAGGAUACCACCACUAUAAAACUGCCUUGCUCGUGUUUGUGGUGGUUUGGCUUUUUUCCCCUUUGUAUUUCUUUUUGCUAUAACUAAGGGAAGAUUUGCCAAGAAAGUGUGGUUUUCACACUCUAAGAUGCCUUUUCCAUAGCUGAUGGCAUAGAGCAGGGCACCCGUGAAAGCACCUGAUGUGAGCAAAUUUAUUCUUUAGUACAAUAAACCCUUAUCUGAGAAAGAUUUAAUCCUUCCCGCAGUGGGUGGUUGCAGUGUUAAUAAAGGGUGCAUAGGUAGAAGGAGGCAGCCAGCACCAGGCGGACACGUGGAUCAACUCCUCUGCCAGGGCAUGAGGAGAAGCAGGAGCUGAUGAUAAUGAGACAAAGUAAAAUUGUCUACAUCUUCACAGAGCAGGCUGAAAACAACCCAAGGAAAACAAGAUGAAGAGAUGUUUGCAGAUCCAGGAAGCUUCGUGGUGAUAAAAUAAAGCCAUGGAGACAUGA